AUGAAAUAUUAGUUCUGGUUGCUAGUGCAGAUCUGGACUCGGAUCAAGGGUGUCGAGAGGGUCCUGGGUCCUGUUCCUUUGCCUUUCAAAAAGACUUUUUACGGAUUGAGAAUUUUUAAAUACCACUAGGGGAAAGGUGAAGGUUCUUUGCAGCCUUCAGUGUUGAAAUGGACGAAGGUAAGGAAGGCAAAUCAUUUUAAGACGAAAUCUCCGAUUUUUUAAAAAAGGAGGAAAAAAGCAGGGUGGCUAAGGAUAAAGAAAGAGGACUUGAGAAAAUGUGGAGAAUGAAAAACAGGAGAGCAGCGAGCAAAAGCAAAGAUCCAGAGUUCAAAGAGACUGGCAGAAGGAAAUAGCUGCGGGCUGAGUGCUGAAGAGGGGAGGGACUGACGGCUGCCGGCCGGUAGGAGCGCGGAGCUGCGCUGCGGCGGCCCAGGAGCUGCUGCGGUUCCCGCUGCUCGGGGAGCAGGCGGUGUGUGCGCGGCUGCGAAGUCGAGGUUGAAACUGCACCGCCAAGGCGCGCUCCUGCUGUGUCUGGAGCUCCGGCGUCUCCUCUGCCUCCCAGCUCAGCGCCUCCCACCCUCCUUCCCUCCUCCUCUUCCCAGCUCCCCCGCCCUCUGCUGCUCGCAGCCUCGCCAGUGAGAAUCUACUGUAAGUGUGAGUUGCUUCGACGAAGUCACACACCCACGGAGGGAAGUAAUCUGGAGGCUGCCUUGGCAUUUUUAGUGAUGUGUGGCCUCACCACUUAAAUCCAGUUUAUUGAAUCUGAAGUGAUUUGCUCCUCUUUCUGGACUACACAAUAAACACCCUCCAACGUCCCCAGCCAUGCUCUUCCCAUCAUUUGGCUGAAAGGGGAGGAAUUCAAGGCCUUAGAGUGGGGAAGCUACAAUUUGGAAGAAUCCUGGAAGCACAGAUUACCCUGUGAAGCAGCAUCCCCAUGAGGGUCUCUUUCUUCUGUGAUAUAAGCAAGAAAUAAAUGAAUUGUGCAAAUCCAGUGAGAUUUAGUCAUCUCUGUGUUAAAUCAGUUAGCUACUCUGGCUCAUACAUCAUCUUCUGGCUGCUUUUGACUCAUAGCUUGGUUAAGAUGAGGUUAUCUAAGGUGUUCAUCAUUUCAAACCGUCCUUCUUAAUAUUGCCAAGAUAAUUUUUACGUCAAACAGCCAUUUAAUGGCAGCUUAUUUCUAAAUUAUUCCUAUCUUUCACAGUCUUAAUAUAGUUCACAUUAUGACCCUAACUCCAUUGAUAUUUUAUUUUUAUUUUUAUUAUUUAUUUAUUAUUUAUCUAUCUAUUUUUGAGACAGUCUCACUCUAUCAUCCAGGCUGGAGUGCAAUGGUGUGAUCUCGGCUCACUGCAUCCUUG
rnacentral:lncRNA from 10 species